rnacentral:rRNA from 1 species
CACGGUAGGAGGCAAACGUUAUCCGGAUUUACUGGGCGUAAAGCGCGUGUAGGUGGUUCUGUAAGUAGGGCGUGAAAGCUCCCGGCUCAACUGGGAGAGGCCGUUCUAAACUGCAGAGCUAGAGGAUGGUAGAGGGAGGUGGAAUUCCAGGUGUAGCGGUGGAAUGCGCAGAUAUCUGGAGGAACACCAGUGGCGAAGGCGGCCUCCUGGACCAUUCCUGACACUCAGACGCGAAAGCUAGGGUAGCAAACGGGAUUAGAUAUCCCGGUAGUCCCU